rnacentral:lncRNA from 1 species
GCCAUGUAAUAGGGUCCAGCCAAUUUUUAGAUGUUUUCGUUGUGUUUUAGGAGGAUUCCUAGGCCGUUUCGGAGUCCCUCAAGGGCCUGUCCGAAAACCCCCUAGUUCCCCUCCUAUUUAUACCCCAUGAGCCCCCCCAUGGAGCAUUGGGUUUUGAUUAGAUAAAGUUUAGCCUUUGCUACUUUCGUGUAAUCGCGUGUGUCGGUUAGACCACCUGUUUUACCGUCAUCA